AAAGACCCUGUCUCUUAAAAAAAAAAAAAUCUUAGAUAAGAGGAUGCUGUGCCUCCCUGGGGGUCUUCAGUCACCCAUAGUCCUGGCAAGAGAGGAGGGCCAGGAGAGAGCUUCACCCACCUGCUGUCCUGCCCAUGUGACAUCCGCAGGUGCUGCCAUGGCCACGACUGAUGUUACACUCGAGCUGAGGAGGCCGGCUGCAGCCCCAAGACAGAGCGCUACUCCUGGCAGUGCGUCAAUCAGAGCGUCCUGUGCGGAUCUUCUUCACUCUGGAGGUGCCACCCAUGAGAACAAAGAGCUCUGGAGAGAUGUGGAUUCCUGAAGAGCUGCAGGGGAACUGGGAGAGGGUUUUCUGACAGAACAAUCUCACCUCAAGAAGUCACUUAGGCAUGGCUGUAAUAUUUCUUUUCACUCCCAGGUAAUACCAAAUU
rnacentral:lncRNA from 1 species